UGAGGAAUAUUGGUCAAUGGCCGGGAGGCUGAACCAGCCAAGUCGCGUGAAGGAUGAAGGAUCUAUGGUUUGUAAACUUCUUUUAUACGGGAAUAAAGUGUGGGACGUGUCCCAUUUUGUAUGUACCGUAUGAAUAAGCAUCGGCUAACUCCGUGCCAGCAGCCGCGGUAAUACGGAGGAUGCGAGCGUUAUCCGGAUUUAUUGGGUUUAAAGGGUGCGUAGGUGGUUGUUUAAGUCAGCGGUGAAAGUUUGUGGCUCAACCAUAAAAUUGCCGUUGAAACUGGAUGACUUGAGUAUAUUUGAGGUAGGCGGAAUGCGUGGUGUAGCGGUGAAAUGCAUAGAUAUCACGCAGAACUCCGAUUGCGAAGGCAGCUUACUAAACUAUAACUGACACUGAAGC
rnacentral:rRNA from 1 species